rnacentral:lncRNA from 1 species
AGUUUCUUGGCUAAUUUGCGAAUGCAGUUGGGUUUUUUAAAAAAAUUUUUUGUGAGGAAGAUUGGCCCUGAGCUAACAUCUGUGCCAAUCUUCCUCUACUUUGUAUUUGGGAUGCCGCCAUUGUGUGGCUUCCUGAGCCCUGUGUAGGUCCAUGCCCGGGACCCAAACCAGUGAACCCCAGCCACCGAAGCAGAGCCAGAGCACUCGACAACUACGCAGCUGGGCCAGCCCCCAGCAAUUGGUUCUUAAUUAGCUUUGCCCUAGCAUAUCUGUUGCUGUAUACAAUAUUCGUUCUUUGUGAAUUGUAAGCAGAAAUUCAUUAGAUUUCCUCAAAAUCUUUCUUUCAGUCUCUUGCUUUAGUAUAUUAUUUUUCAAUUUACAAAAUUAGUGGUGCUGUUAUUUCUCUAUGUAACAGCAUACUCAAUAAAUAUAUUUAUUUGUAUUCAGUAGUAUAAACUGAAUAAGCUGGAUUAUUUGCUCUCUAAGGUUCUUUUCUGAAAACUGAGAAUUAUUCUUAUAGGAGGAAGCUUGCCCAAGUACACGAAUGUGGACGCAUCGGGCAGAGAAGAGUUGGCUGGCUGAUCUGUGCCAGGACUGCCACAGACAGGAGUCUUCGUUUUCACAGCAUGAUUCCUUUUUACCCGUAGCAACACUUUUGGGCUUCAUCUUUACCAUGGAGUCAGUCUGGACGAUGGAGCUCACCGGGCAUCUACAGGUGAAGAAAGGACCUCAGCUUUGUGUAAGACCGCAGGAGUUCUCCAUAAGGCAAUGCUGAGAAUUUCUCCUCUUUUUAAGAACCAGUGAUGAUCAGAGAAGGUCCUGAUGAGUGUUCCUCAUGACCAAAAUGGAAAUAGGAAUUUGCCUUCGUUGUUGCUUGCUCUCUCCUCUGCAGCCAUCCCAUCUGCAGCUAUUAAAGGUUGUCCUGAGAGGAGCUUGGAAAAUAUACAAUGAAAUGGUUAUAGGAAAUCGGAAUCGUACUUGGGAAUUCAGCUUGUGCUAGAUCCAAGGACAAGAGGGGAUCAGCAAGGACAUGGCCUCACCCACCUGGCUCACAAAAGAUGUUCUGAGCUGGUCCGCCAGGUGGGCUUUAUUUCCAUGCAAUGAGAUGGUGUCCUCUAAGACUGAACUGUGGCCACCUGAGAGUCACCACAUGUGACUCAAAGCAUCCUUCCAUUUCGGGAUUUUGAACACUUUUCUGUGCUUUUAUUGGCCAAGGGGAGCAGUAGUUCUGCAAGCUAAUAGAAAGGUCACACAUUUUGAAAUCAACCAGAAUUGAAAAGCUGUGCUUCUAAGCUCUGAUUCUCUUCAAUGGGAAGAAGUCGUGCCCCUCUUAUGGGGUCCAGGCAGUAGUCAUAAACUGCUCCAUCCAGUAAUGCUAGUGCUGGGCAAGUGGUCUGCACUGGACAGUAAUUGGCUGAUGGGUGCUGCUGGCCUACGUGCAGCCAGUGGGAGGCUGGGUUAGGUGUUCCAGUCGGGGCUUGGUGAAGAGACUUAGGGACAAGUUAAAGAAAACCCUAACAGAACAAGAGCGGUGGAAAGAAAGUCGGCGGUCAUUCCUAACAAAGAGCCAAUAACAGGAAAGCUGCUUCCCAGGAUGAAAAGGCUCUUCCAGAGAAACUUGGAGAUGAAUGGUAUGGAGAUAGACAGAGAACAGACUCCCCAAACAUGGAGCCACGGUGAAGUGUUGGGGACGCCACACAAGCGAUGAAGCGGGAGCUGAGGCCCCAUCAACGAAAGCAGCUGUUUUUUCUUGGUUGGAAGGAGCCUCAGCGCAGUCUGCUUCCGAAUCAGAUUUCUCUCUUUAACCCAGUGGCUCAGCAUUUCCCAGACAGCUUCUUGGCUAUCUCCAUCCCUGGUGUUAAAUGGGCCAUUUCCUGGGGGACUCAAGGUUCUCCCCUGACACCUCAGCACCUGAGACGUCUGUAAAGUGACAUGGAGGGAAGGUUGGAGAUCCUAGAGAAAGGAAAACCCUUGGGCAUAUAAUUAAGGAGUCAGGAAUCUGAGAAAGCAAACUGGAAGCUACCGGAAUUUCAUCUAAAAUGAGUAUUGGUAUUGAAGGCUUUAGGUUUUGGAGGAAGUGAGAGGAGGGGCAGAGUGUAAGUUUGAAGUGAAAAGACUAAAGAAUAAAAAUUUAAAAUACCAAGGAUGAGUAAGUUGC